GAAUAUGAUGUUUUGAUUGGU
rnacentral:piRNA from 1 species